rnacentral:rRNA from 1 species
UACGAGGGGGGCGAGCGUUGUUCGGAAUUAUUGGGCGUAAAGGGUGCGUAGGCGGUUUGGUAAGUCUUGUGUGAAAUCUUCGGGCUUAACUCGAAGUCUGCACUGGAAACUGCCGGGCUUGAGCGUGGGAGAGGUGAGUGGAAUUCCCGGUGUAGCGGUGAAAUGCGUAGAGAUCGGAAAGAACACCAACGGCGAAAGCAAUCUGCUGGGCCGACACUGACACUGAGAGACGAAAGCUAGGGGAGCGAAUGGG